rnacentral:rRNA from 1 species
AGUGAACGCUGGCGGUAGGCCUAACACAUGCAAGUCGAACGGCAGCACAGUAAGAGCUUGCUCUUACGGGUGGCGAGUGGCGGACGGGUGAGGAAUACAUCGGAAUCUACUUUUUCGUGGGGGAUAACGUAGGGAAACUUACGCUAAUACCGCAUACGACCUACGGGUGAAAGCAGGGGAUCUUCGGACCUUGCGCGAUUGAAUGAGCCGAUGUCGGAUUAGCUAGUUGGCGGGGUAAAGGCCCACCAAGGCGACGAUCCGUAGCUGGUCUGAGAGGAUGAUCAGCCACACUGGAACUGAGACACGGUCCAGGCUCCUACGGGAGGCAGCAGUGGGGAAUAUUGGACAAUGGGCGCAAGCCUGAUCCAGCCAUACCGCGUGGGUGGAGAAGGCCUUCGGGUUGUAAAGCCCUUUUGUUGGGAAAGAAAAGCAGCAGGUUAAUACCCCGCUGUUCUGACGGUACCCAAAGAAUAAGCACCGGCUAACUUCGUG